CUUUCAAAUCCUAACCAUUCAUUUUCUCUCUAGACACCCUAAAACUUCAUUUCCCUUCAAUUCUUGCCAUUUCUUCCUCAUUCAAGCCACGAAAUCACUCCCUUGAUUUGUGUAUCCUCCAUGGCAAGAGGAGAUAAACGUAAAUCAACCCAAGAAGAGGGUGAAAGUUUGGGAAGAAGCUUUAUCUCCAUCAAUGCAAGGAAACAAUUCAACGAGAAACUUAGGGGUAUUGAGCCAAUACUUGUUGAUUGGCACACUUACCUGACGUUUGGCUCAGAUGAGGUCGAAGUGGUAGACCACAAUGGUACUAUGAAGAUAGAAGACAUUCCCCAUUGAAGCUCUGGGGGCCUAUCCAAUGUGAAUAGUGGUCACGAUAAGUAAGCGAAGGCUACCAGUGUGAACGGCAGCCGCUGUUGGUGAAUGACGGCCACUAAUGUCAACAAUGGCUAUGAUAGGUGAGCCAACACCACCUACCAUGGUAGAUAAGCCAACCAUGUGCUUCUUCCAUGGACCAUAGGCUACAAAUAAGACCCCCCUAACCAGAGCAUUACAAACAUCUCGAUUUCAAGUUCGUGUCCUCUUUUAUUUUUCUAUUUGUUGUCCUUUCGCCAUUGAAGCUCAUUUAGUGAGUGUAUGGUAACUCACUUGAAAAAUGAGCAGCUCGGAAGCUAUCCCAAGUAUAAGAGUUACGUCAUGUAAUAUUCAACCCAAAUGCUAGAUCAUCUUCUCAGGGAAUGCGUUUUAAUCUCAAAUUUUACGUUCUUCCAAUCGAAAAUAAAAAGUUACUGAACUCA